GACGAACGCUGGCGGCGUGCCUAAUACAUGCAAGUCGAGCGAAGCGGCGGAUGGGUGAGAAACGCGUGGGUAACCUGCCCUUAAGUCUGGGCUACUAUUUGGAAACACAUGCUAAUACCGGAUACUAAAGGAUGGACCUGCGAUGACUUAGCUAGUUGGUAAGGUACCGGCUUACCAAGGCGAUGAUGCAUAGCCGAUUUGAGGGACUGAUCGGCCACAUUGGGACUGAGACACGGCCCAAACUCCUACGGGAGGCAGCAGUAGGGAAUCUUCCACAAUGGACGAAAGUCUGAUGGAGCAACGCCGCGUGAGUGAAGAAGGUUUUCGGAUCGUAAAGCUCUGUUGUUGGUGAAGCGGUAAUCAACCAGAAAGUCACGGCUAACUACGUGCCAGCAGCCGCGGUAAUAC
rnacentral:rRNA from 1 species